UAUCCAGCAGAAGUUAAAACUGCACCAGAAAUCAUAAUAAAUACAAAUGACCCUACAGGUGUUGCUGUCGAUACGAUAAAUGACCAUUUAUAUUGGUCAGAACUGAAAAGCAAUCGGAUACUCAGAUCACAUCUCAAUGGUUCCAGUACAACAGUAAUUACAUCCGUUACUGCACCCCUAGAUUUAGAAUUAGAUAUGACAAACGGGCUGUUAUACAUCCUUAGUAAUUACAUAGAGAUAUUACAGUGUCGGUGGGACGGAAGUGGAUGUCGUGUUAUCCGUGAAAUAACUAAAGCAACAUUAAAUGCAGAAAAUAUAGCUAUAGAUUUUGAAGAAGACAGGGUUUAUUGGACUUUUACUAACUCUCAUCAACCUAUACGAUCGUCCUCUCUUGGUGGAUCAAAUUUACAGGAGACUGAUAUAAGCUUAAACUGUGCAUUUGGUAUUGAUGUCAGUAGUACUCAUAUUUAUUACGCGGAUUGGUAUAGAGGCAUAUGUAAAACUGAAAAGGCAAACUCGACAUAUGAUGUUCUCUUAUAUGCAAGCAAUCCAGUCACGGCUGUUAAGAUAUUCCAAC